UGGCUCAGGACGAACGCUGGCGGCGUGCCUAACACAUGCAAGUCGAGCGAGAUGAGCCCUUCGGGGUGAUUCUAGCGGCGGACGGGUGAGUAACACGUGGGUAACCUGCCUCAAAGAGGGGGAUAGCCUCCCGAAAGGGAGAUUAAUACCGCAUAACAUUAUUUCUUCGCAUGAAGAGAUAAUCAAAGGAGUAAUCCGCUUUGAGAUGGACCCGCGGCGCAUUAGCUAGUUGGUGAGGUAAUGGCUCACCAAGGCGACGAUGCGUAGCCGACCUGAGAGGGUGAUCGGCCACAUUGGAACUGAGAUACGGUCCAGACUCCUACGGGAGGCAGCAGUGGGGAAUAUUGCGCAAUGGGGGAAACCCUGACGCAAGCAACGCCGCGUGGGUGAAGAAGGCCUUCGGGUUGUAAAGCUCUGUCUUCUGGGACGAUAAUGACGGUACCAGAGGAGGAAGCCACGGCUAACUACGUGCCAGCAGCAGC
rnacentral:rRNA from 1 species